rnacentral:rRNA from 1 species
CACCGCGGUUAGACGAGAGGCCCUAGUUGAUAAUAUAACGGCGUAAAGGGUGGUUAAGGACAAAAUAAAAUAAAGCCAAAUGGCCCAUUGGCCGUCAUACGCUUCUAGGCGUCCGAAGCCCUCACACGAAAGUAGCUUUAAUAACCCCGCCUGACCCCACGAAAGCUAAGAAA